UACGUAGGGUGCAAGCGUUAAUCGGAAUUACUGGGCGUAAAGCGUGCGCAGGCGGUUCUAUAAGACAGAUGUGAAAUCCCCGGGCUCAACCUGGGAACUGCAUUUGUGACUGUAGAGCUGGAGUGCGGCAGAGGGGGAUGGAAUUCCGCGUGUAGCAGUGAAAUGCGUAGAUAUGCGGAGGAACACCGAUGGCGAAGGCAAUCCCCUGGGCCUGCACUGACGCUCAUGCACGAAAGCGUGGGGAGCGAACGGG
rnacentral:rRNA from 1 species